rnacentral:misc_RNA from 1 species
AACGCACGAGACCUGCGGACCUGCGGAGGGAUCAUUAGAGAAACAUCUCUACAGGUGGAGUGUGAUGGGCUUCGGCUCGCACGCUUCACUUUAUACCCCCAUGCCUGGGGUCGGGGUGAGGUUGUGUUGUCUGCUUUUGCAAACGCGCACCUCCUUCGUCCUCAGUUCAUAUAUACACCUUUCAUACUGGUCAGCCUAACGGCGCAGUAAACUGAACCUUUUUGAUAAGCAUUGUCGGCA